rnacentral:other from 1 species
GUUACACUACGACGUUGGUGACUGCCGUAUAAGUUUGUUGAUCUAUGACUUAUGAGUUUAGGGUCUGAACAUUUUCGUGGCAGUAAACUGAGCUUGUACUCAGAAACUUUAAACGGAAAACUUUGGUACCCACCUGGUUAUUUCCAGGUCACAAAACUUAGGUAAAACGGCGUCGCGGUGAACCC